UACGGAGAGUUUGAUUCUGGCUCAGAACGAACGCUGGCGGCGUGGAUAAGACAUGCAAGUCGAACGAAGAAUCUCAAUAGCUUGCUAAUGAGAUUCUUAGUGGCGGACGGGUUAGUAACACGUGAGAUACCUACCCUUUAGACAGGAAUAGCCCAUGGAAACGUGGAAUAAUACCUGAUAGUCUCUACGGAGUAAAUGAUGCCUUCGGGUGUCGCUAAAGGAUGGGCUCGCGGCCUAUCAGUUUGUUGGUGAGGUAAUGGCUCACCAAGGCUACGACGGGUAGCUGGUCUGAGAGGACGAUCAGCCACACUGGAACUGAGACACGGUCCAGACACCUACGGGUGGCAGCAGUCGAGAAUCAUUCACAAUGGAGGAAACUCUGAUGGUGCAACGCCGCGUGGAGGAUGACGGCCCUAGGGUUGUAAACUCCUGUCAUUGGGGAGUAAGACUUAUGCGUUAAGAGCGUGUAAGUUUGAUAGUACCCAAAGAGGAAGGGACGGCUAACUUCGUGCCAGCAGCCGCGGUAAUACGAAGGUCCCAAGCGUUGUUCGGAAUAACUGGGCGUAAAGCGUGUGUAGGCUGCGCGGAAAGUCAAAUGUGAAAGCCAAGGGCUCAACCCUUGAACUGCAUUCGAUACUCCCGUGCUAGAGUAAUGGAGAGGUAAGUGGAAUUCUCGGUGUAGCAGUGAAAUGCGUAGAUAUCGAGAGGAACAUCAAUGGCGAAGGCAACUUACUGGACAUUUACUGACGCUCAGACACGAAGGCUAGGGGAGCGAAAGGGAUUAGAUACCCCUGUAGUCCUAGCAGUAAACGGUGCUCGCUUGGUGUGGGAGGAUUCGACCCCUUCUGUGCCGGAGCUAACGCGUUAAGCGAGCCGCCUGGGAAGUACGGUCGCAAGACUAAAACUCAAAGAAAUUGACGGGGACCCGCACAAGCGGUGGAGUAUGUGGCUUAAUUCGAUGCAACGCGAAGAACCUUACCUAGGCUUGACAUGCUCAUCAUACCCUCCCGAAAAGGAGGGGUCGGUUCGGCCGGAUGAUGCACAGGUGCUGCAUGGCCGUCGUCAGCUCGUGUCGUGAGAUGUUUGGUUAAGUCCAGCAACGAGCGCAACCCCUGUGAACUGUUGCCAGCGGAUAAUGCCGGGGACUCUGUUCAGACUGCCCAGAUCAACUGGGAGGAAGGUGGGGACGACGUCAGGUCAGUAUGGCCCUUACGCCUAGGGCUGCACACGUACUACAAUGCCCAGCACAAUGAGAACCGAGACCGCGAGGUGGAGGAAAUCUAUAAAACUGGGCCCAGUUCGGAUUGGAGGCUGCAACUCGCCUCCAUGAAGUCGGAAUCGCUAGUAAUGCCGUAUCAGCUACGACGGCGUGAAUACGUUCCCGGGUCUUGUACACACCGCCCGUCACAUCAUGGAAGCCGGUCGCACCCGAAGUAUCUGCGCUAACUUUCGAGAAGCAGGAUCCUAAGGUGAGGCUGGUAACUGGGAUGAAGUCGUAACAAGGUAGCCGUAGGGGAACCUGCGGCUGGAUCACCUCCUUUCU
rnacentral:rRNA from 1 species